ACCUUGUUACGACUUCUCCUUCCUCUAAGUGUUAAGGUUCACAAAACUUCCCAUUUCGGGCACGAACGCGCCACAAAACGGUCCGAAUAAUUCACCGGAACACUCAAUCGGUAGGAGCGACGGGCGGUGUGUACAAAGGGCAGGGACGUAAUCGGCGCAAGCUGCUGACU
rnacentral:rRNA from 1 species